rnacentral:rRNA from 1 species
UGGGGAAUCUUGCACAAUGGGGGCAACCCUGAUGCAGCGACGCCGCGUGAACGAUGAAGCCCUUCGGGGUGUAAAGUUCUUUCGACAGGAACGAUAAUGACGGUACCUGGAGAAGAAGCUGCGGCUAACUACGUGCCAGCAGCCGCGGUAAUACGUAGGCAGCGAGCGUUGUUCGGAGUUACUGGGCGUAAAGAGUGCGUAGGCGGUUGGUCAAGUUUGGUGUGAACUCUCCCGGCUCAACUGGGAGGGUGCGCCGAAAACUGGCCGACUUCGAGUAUGGGAGAGGAAAGCGGAAUUCCGGGUGUAGCGGUGAAAUGCGUAGAUAUCAGGAGGAACACCUGUGGUGUAGACAGCUUUCUGGACCAAAACUGACGCUGAGGCACGAAAGCGUGGGGAGCAAACA